rnacentral:rRNA from 1 species
GCUAAGUGUGGAAAAGAUAAGCGCUGAAAGCAUCUAAGCGUGAAACAGACUUCAAGAUUAGGUAUCUCACUUUGUUAAGAAGGUAAGAUCCCUUAAAGAUGAUAAGGUAGAUAGGCCAGAGGUGUAAGUGUAGUAAUACAUUAAGCUAACUGGUACUAAUAGAUCGAGGGCUUAAUCAUU